GGGGAAGGGUAGCUUGCUACCUGACCUAGCGGCGGACGGGUGAGUAAUGCUUAGGAAUCUGCCUAUUAGUGGGGGACAACAUUCCGAAAGGAAUGCUAAUACCGCAUACGCCCUACGGGGGAAAGCAGGGGAUCUUCGGACCUUGCGCUAAUAGAUGAGCCUAAGUCAGAUUAGCUAGUUGGUGGGGUAAAGGCCUACCAAGGCGACGAUCUGUAGCGGGUCUGAGAGGAUGAUCCGCCACACUGGGACUGAGACACGGCCCAGACUCCUACGGGAGGCAGCAGUGGGGAAUAUUGGACAAUGGGCGAAAGCCUGAUCCAGCCAUGCCGCGUGUGUGAAGAAGGCCUUUUGGUUGUAAAGCACUUUAAGCGAGGAGGAGGCUACUGAGAUUAAUACUCUUUGGAUAGUGGACGUUACUCGCAGAAUAAGCACCGGCUAACUCUGUGCCAGCAGCCGCGGUAAUACAGAGGGUGCGAGCGUUAAUCGGAUUUACUGGGCGU
rnacentral:rRNA from 1 species